GGAACAUAUGGUUUUUUGGGUUUGGUGGCUUCCUCUGGCCGCGAUCUUCAUCUUGAAACUACAGUGUUGUCGUUCAUCGAUCAAUCGAAGAAAAGUUCCGAGGUGUGAAGAAACGCAGCCAUCUGCAAUUUGGUGAAGUCGGUUCCAACACAGAACCUCAUACCGCCACCAAACGCCAUGAAGUGCUUUGAUGCAUUGUUUUACUUGGAGUAGAAGUUACUUAGAAGGUUUGACCUCACCUCCCAUCUUGAUGGAUUGAAGACUAAAGGAUCUUUAUACUUUUCUGGAUUCAAAUGUACAGCUGGUGGACAGACCAUCACCGCCCAGCCGGCUGGAAUGCACUGCAGGGUCAUCUGUAAGAAACUUGAUAGCUAAAGUUAAAGCGAGAGAUGUUGUUUCGAAGCUGGCAAAUAGUAAGACAAACAUCAAG